rnacentral:rRNA from 1 species
UACAGAGGUCUCAAGCGUUGUCCGGAAUCAUUGGGCGUAAAGAGCGCGUAGGCGGUCCGAUAAGUCGGUUGUGAAAACUGGGGGCUCAACCCUCAGAGGCCGACCGAUACUGUCGGGCUAGAGUCCGGAAGAGGCGAGUGGAAUUCCUGGUGUAGCGGUGAAAUGCGCAGAUAUCAGGAGGAACACCAAUGGCGAAGGCAGCUCGCUGGGACGGUACUGACGCUGAGGCGCGAAAGCGUGGGGAGCAAACAGG